UACGUAGGGUGCAAGCGUUAAUCGGAAUUACUGGGCGUAAAGCGUGCGCAGGCGGUUAUGUAAGACAGAUGUGAAAUCCCCGGGCUCAACCUGGGAACUGCAUUUGUGACUGCAUAGCUAGGAGUACAGAAGGGGCAACUGGAAUUCUCGGUGUAGCGGUGAAAUGCGUAGAUAUCGAGAGGAACACCUGCGGCGAAGGCGGGUUGCUGGGCUGAUACUGACGCUGAGGCGCGAAAGCCAGGGGAGCGAACGGG
rnacentral:rRNA from 1 species